rnacentral:lncRNA from 10 species
AUUCUGAAGAAAGACAAGUGCAACCAACCUGCUUCUCCAGAGAUCUCCCAAGACAUCAACAAUGGGGUCAAGGAAAACAGACACCCUUAGGGUCUUCUCCACUUAGCUCCCUUUGGUGACAGGGCUGGACAGCAGCAGCAGGGGAUGGAAGAAAGAAGCAGCUCUUCCUUGAAAUCUUCUGAGACCUCAACAGAGGAAGCUUAUGGGAAUGGACAGGAAGCUGGACUGAGCUCACUUGCCUAGAGGACUAUUCCUAUGUGGAGUGAGCAGCUACCCAACUCCCAGAGCCCAGACGGGCUGAGUAGCCAGGGCUUGACUGGCCAUGAGCACUGCCUAAGGGGUCUAGGAUACUUCACAGGGUACAGUAGCCAGACCAGGAGUGGGUGGUGACAAGUGAUCUCAGGGGGCUGACCAAUGGAGCAAGGUCCAGCCAGAGCAUGGGACAGCAUCCAAGAACCAAGCUGCCCAGAGGAGGUGUGAGAGCUCUGGUCUUACAAGGUACAACUCAGAUCAGGACACUAACCACAGCAUGAUAGCUGUUUAGUAAACCAGACCCUGCCAAUACAGGAGAUAAAGGAAACAACAACAGGCUGAAGACACCCAGAACCCCUGGCUCAUCUUCAUCUCACCUAAACCAGGUUGAUGGUAGCAAAUCCCAGGUCCUAAUCACUGCUGUGCAUGAAACUCUGAGCAUGCUUUCCAAAUUAUUGGCAUUGGCUCAAAAAUGGGCAAAGCUGAGCUGGUAAGUAAAAGGCCUCAUUAUAACAGUGCAGAAGCUAGGAGGUAAGGGCUAAGGUGAAGAUUCUAGGCAGACAGCAUGAUUCAGAGGUGACUCAAGUAGACUGUAGUAGGAAACCUUAAGCAGGAAGCCUUGAGUCUGCAGCUUAAGCCACUGCUUCAGUGUCUACGGUGAAAGAUUCACUUAUAUUUGAAACACUUUUCUUUAAAAAACAGAGAGCAAAGAUUAGACAGGAAAUAACCAAGAAAGACACGUGACCUUACCCCAGAAAGACAAAGGUGUUCUUGUGGAUCCCAGGUGCCUGGUCCAGCCCCAUUCACCAAGACUGACUUCCUCAUAGGAAUAUUAUUGCACUAAGAAGUCCUUGUGAAAAAGAGACAUGAUUGAAACAUCCUCUCUGCAGUUUUUCUUUGUGACAACAGCAGAUCAGGGACUUGGAGAUUCAGGAUUGAUUGCAGCCCAUUUUUCCACUCUGUCCAUGGUGAGAGGUGAAGAAAGAGAUGGACAGAAGAGUUAUGACUUACAUGACUGGUGGUACUCAGGUGUUCUCAGAGCUCAGAACAUAUUCCAGAGCCUGAUUUAUUUCCUGAUUUCUUUACAAUAAAUCACUCUGAAAACCAAGAACACUAGAAUAUAGACUGCUUGUACACUAAAAUCAGAGCUCCUUUGGAAAUGGGUGGCCCAUUCCUGGGAGGAACAAUCAUAUCUCAAGGUGCAUUUAUCCUGGGUAGCCACAUCAGCCCUGUGUUUUCUCUUUACAUAGUUCCAGUAGCCUGCAAGGUCACUGAUGGGUAGCUCUCUAAUAAUGGCUUAGUAACUCAAAAUAUUUGGAUCCCAGAUUUAUUUGGCUGCUAUGUGGCUUAUUUUUUUUAAGUGAGCCCUACUUCCAUUGAGCACAUGUUCUCUGUCAGAAAAUUUUCAUAAACAUACAGUCUAUCGUGCAAAACAUCAGACUAUCAAUUACUUCCACUUACUCUGAGCAAAGAAUAUCAUUAGUAUACCAAAAAAAAUAGUUUUCUAUGAAUGGCAUCCUUGUUCACAUUCCCUGAAGAGCAGAAUCUGAGAUGGAGGUUUGUUUGCAUAAAGUUUAUUGGGGAGUAUUUCUGAGGGGGAAUGAAAGCAGCCAGAUUGGGAAGAAGGAAGAGAUGAACUAUGAAGCAAUGAACAGUGGCCUCUGCUGAUCCCACAGGAAGCUCUGGAGCUGAGUGGUCCUUCAGAAAUGUUCCAAAUUGAGCAAGGCCUUUAUGGUUAAUGUCAUUCAAUCAUUGCAUGCAAGCUGACCUUGGCAUGAUAUAGAGAGAGGCAGUUUACUUCAGUUCUUGGAGGACAAUGCUUAGGGUGUGAUGUGGUUUGUCCCCACCCAAAUCUCAUCUUGAAUUGUAGCUCUCAUAAUUCCCACGUGUUGUGGGAGGGACCCAGUGAGAGGUAAUUUAAUCAUGGGGUGGGUCUUUCUGGUGCUGUUCUCAUGAUAGUGAAUAAGUCUCAUGAGAUCUGCUGGUUUUAUAAAGGGAUAUUCUCCUACACAAGCUCUCUUGCCUGCCACCAUGUAAGACGUGCCUUUGCCUUCAGCCAUGAUUGUGAGGCCUCUCCAGCCAUGCUGAACUGUGAGUCAAUUAAUCUUCUUUCCUUUAUAAAUUACCCAGUCUUGGGUGCAGCUUGAGAACAGCUGUAAGCCAUUAGCCAGCAACACUCCUGGCAGCUGGGGGAAUGAGUGACUUGAUCCUGAAAGGAAGGUCAUGGUAGUGCCUCACCACAUCCACUGUAAUUGGUUUCUUCAAGAUAGUUGCUUUGAGAAUAUAAACGGAUGGCCAUUUUCACAACAAACUCCUUGCAGUACAACACUGCAUCAUGUUUGUCUUUAUAACUACUACACUAUACUAGCUGCUCUGAUGCUUUUUGCAAAUAGCUAACUUCAACAAAUAUUUAGAUUGGAAUUGCCUGAAAUAAAAUCCACCCUAUUAUUGGCCUAUUAUUUUGAAAAUGGAAAUAAAAGACCCCACAGUGGAGCUAAGAAUAAAAAGCUUGUUUGUGCAGACUUGUAAUGAUAAUAAUGCAUUGUAUCCAACUUUUGUUCCAAUAAAUAAAU